GAAGCACCAAGGACCUUCACGACAUUUUCUUCGUUCUUUUUCCUUCUGCUCUCUUAUCUUCUUCUCUUCCUAAUCUAACAAUAUCAAUAAAAUCGGCAAACUUCUCCUCACAGACAAGGAAAAUCCUUAACCUCACCCACGAAAUUUGGAGCAUAAUUCUGUAUACGAUUCUAAUGCUUGAAAUUUGAUUGAUUCUAAACCUAAAUUUGAAUUAGGGUUUUGUUUUGGGUAAUUCUGCUUCUUUGGUUUGUUAGUUAUCGAUUUUGAUUAAGGGAAAAUUAUACUUUGUGUUGUUCAUCUCUAUUUGGUUUUGUUAUCGAAUACGAACCUUACGACAUGAUUUUUUGAUAGAAUUACUCAUCUACUUUACUUUCAUGGUUCAACUUAAGACCUCUUCGUCAAUGGUUGAAUUCCGUUGAUCACCGAUGACAAUUGAAGCCAAAUCGAAGUCCAAGAAUUAUUGAGCUUGCUCGAUUUCAAGAGCUAGCUGAGGCUGAGAAAGAAAAUGAAUGGCAAUGCCAGUCAAGAGAAUUCUCAACAAAGAGAUGCUCACUUACAAUGGCGCCAUUUUUUAUACAAAGCAAAAUGAGAUUCAAUGACCUUAAAUGAAACAUCAACAAUGGCGUAAUGCUAAUGAGGAGAAGAAAAACAAGAAUUAGAUGUGAAAACAAAGAUGAGCACAUAGCCGAAAGAAGCAAACAACUUACUACCGCCACUCAAGUUCGAUCACAAGACCAUGAAACGGGAACAGUGAUUUGUUGCCUGACAAACUUCUAUCGUAUAGGUACUGGGUAGGGCCAUUGAUUUAAGGAGCCUAAUUGCGGAACAGAUGAACUGUAGGAGUUGGACUGUUCACCCGAGAAACGGCUGAUUUCUAUGGUUUCGGGUCCUAACAAUAAGACUGUUGGAGUAUUACUCGAGAGAGACAAAAAUUCUAGGAUUUGGCGAAGGCUGUGCUUGAUACUGCUGCUGCAAAAGGAUCAUCUUCAGUAAAAGAGUAACUUUAUAUAUUUUACCCAUUUAUGGAAGAUAUUUGAUGAUAUCUCAUGCAAAGUGUGGAGGGAGCAUCAACCUUAGUGGUUGGAUGUUUGUCGUGGUCAGAGGGAUGAACACUUGAGGCAUGAUGCUUCAUGAGGUACUACAGAAGCAAUUAAUGUAUUUACAUUGUAUUAAUUAAAUUAAACAAUUAAGGGGAUAUGAUGUAAAACCAAGCACCCUCUUGACAUGACUUUGCAGUAA